rnacentral:rRNA from 1 species
GUCUAUGGCCUUGCCACCUGGAACAAGCCUGAUCCCAUCUGAUCUCGGAAGCUAAGCAGGGUCGGGCCUGGUUAGUACUUGGAUGGGAGACCACCUAGGAAGACCAGGUGCUGUAGGCA